rnacentral:rRNA from 1 species
UACGUAGGGGGCAAGCGUUGUCCGGAAUCAUUGGGCGUAAAGAGCGUGUAGGCGGCCAGAUAAGUCCGCUGUGAAAUCUCGAGGCUCAACUUCGAGCUGUCGGUGGAAACUAUCUGGCUAGAGUCCGGAAGAGGAGAAUGGAAUUCCUGGUGUAGCGGUGAAAUGCGCAGAUAUCAGGAGGAACACCGGUGGCGAAGGCGGGUCUCUGGGCCGAUACUGACGCUGAGGAGCGAAAGCGUGGGGAGCGAACAGG